UAUUUACUUUUGAGAGAGUGCAAGCAGAGAAGGGGCCGAGAGAAGACGACAGAGGAUCCGAAGCAGGCUCUGCACGGACAGCAGCGAGCCGGACGCGGGGCUCGAACUCACGAACCGCGAGAUCAUGACCUGAGCCGAAGUGGGACGCUUAACCGACUGAGCCGCCCAGGCGCCCCACUGCUUCGCCCAUCCACAAGGGGAGCAGCCUGGCCUUCGCCUCUGCUGGUACCCACGGGGGGGCCCAGGGCAGUGAGAACUCCCUGCAGCCGGACCCACCCUGGCAUGGCCUGGUCUGCCGCUGCAGCCUGCGGGAGCCACCUCAGAGGGGAACCGGGUGCCCCGGGGCGGCCUCGUCCAGCCACCCCACAGGAGGAGAGGCCAGAGGGUCCUCGCAAGCCCAGCCACCGUCAUCAUCCGCUGCCCGCUCCCCCUGUGCCCCGUGGCUCUGUGGCUAGACCGGGGCCAGGGGAUUUUAACGACAGGGCGUUUUUGGCAGCCUCCGAGUUCCUCCUAGUAAGUGCUGGCUUUUGGAGGUUGGUCUGAAAAAAAAACCACACGAAGAAGAUCGCGGAGUUUGAUUAAGCGGUGGGCCCCCCAGGUGAAGGCCUCUGGGUGCUUGGCGGCGAAGCGAGGCUUUCUCUGGAGCUUUUGCCCUCCCCGCAGCCAUCAUCCUGGCUCCCUCUAUACCCGGCGGGCCCCAGAUCGCUGCUGGCAGUGCGGCCCAGAGGUGCGGACUCCUUUGGGAAGAGGCAGAGGGACUAAAUGUUCGCUUUGGAGCGAGCCACACUUGGGUUUCAUCUGAGCCGCUCCGCUCACCCGCUCUGCCACCCUGGGUAAGUCCCUUCUGAGCGCCGCCGGCUUCCGCUUCCUCCUCCGUGCAAGGAACUCAAUACCAGCGAGGACCAGAUGAUAACUGUCUGUUCCGCGCGUACCCACAGUCCCUGUUGUUAUUGCCAGCCCGCGGGCCCCAUGACUUCCAUUUCCCCAGAAGCAGACCCUCAGAUGAGGAUUUCCACGGAAGUGAUUUCUUAAGGCUGGGCUCCCAGCAGAUACCUGGAAGGGGGGUGGGGG
rnacentral:lncRNA from 1 species